UCGUACUUGAAGUGAAGACAGCUUUGAAUGCCUUUAUUUUUAGAGUUGUUACAAAGAAACUGGUCUAAAGUUUAGGGGGGACGAAGGAGAAGGAGAAGGAGAAGCAGUUGGAGAAGGAGAAGGAGAAGGAGAAGGAGAAGGAGAAGGAGAAGAGUGAUUCAGAAAACUAUCUACGAUUAUGCAAGGAUAAAAGACCCUCAAAAACCAUCAGAAUAAACAGAGGUGCAUGCAAUCAUUCUUUGAGAAAGUUUACCCAAUUGGAAAAUCUUUGAGUAGAGUUUGUUAGGUCUCUCCCUUGAUUAGAGGGGUUUGUUCGGGUUCUCAGCACUCUUUUUCACCCUCCGUAAAACACCAACAGGCUAAUUUCCAAUACAAUGAUAUUCAAUCAA